AUUGAACGCUGGCGGCAUGCCUUACACAUGCAAGUCGAACGGCAGCAUGAUCUAGCUUGCUAGAUUGAUGGCGAGUGGCGAACGGGUGAGUAAUACAUCGGCACGUGCCCUGUAGUGGGGGAUAACUAGUCGAAAGAUUAGCUAAUACCGCAUACGACCUGAGGGUGAAAGUGGGGGACCGCAAGGCCUCAUGCUAUAGGAGCGGCCGAUGUCUGAUUAGCUAGUUGGUGAGGUAAAGGCUCACCAAGGCGACGAUCAGUAGCUGGUCUGAGAGGACGAUCAGCCACACUGGGACUGAGACACGGCCAGACUCCUACGGGAGGCAGCAGUGGGGAAUUUUGGACAAUGGGGGCAACCCUGAUCCAGCAAUGCCGCGUGUGUGAAGAAGGCCUUCGGGUUGUAAAGCACUUUUGUCCGGAAAGAAAUCGCACUUACUAAUAUUAGGUGUGGAUGACGGUACCGGAAGAAUAAGGACCGGCUAACUACGUGCCAGCCGCCGCAGUAACAC
rnacentral:rRNA from 1 species